CACACUCUCUUCCAACCCGUGAAUGAAUUUUCUCUUCUGUGGAAGCUUCAUCUUGGGAGCCAUUUGCACAAGCAGUACUAGCACGAAGCUUAGGAGACUAAAUGUGAGGGAGAGACGAGAAGAUUCUAGUGGAAAGGCAAAGAUUUUGGAGAGGUGAAGUGCCGAUUUGGAGAAGAUGGGUAGAGUCUAGGGCAAUCUCGAACCGCCCCAA
rnacentral:lncRNA from 1 species